CAGCCGCCGCGGUAAUACGAAGGGGGCUAGCGUUGUUCGGAUUUACUGGGCGUAAAGCGCACGUAGGCGGACUUUUAAGUCAGGGGUGAAAUCCCGGGGCUCAACCCCGGAACUGCCUUUGAUACUGGAAGUCUUGAGUAUGGUAGAGGUGAGUGGAAUUCCGAGUGUAGAGGUGAAAUUCGUAGAUAUUCGGAGGAACACCAGUGGCGAAGGCGGCUCACUGGACCAUUACUGACGCUGAGGUACGAAAGCAUGGGGAGCAAACAGGAUUAGAUACCCCAGUAGUCCCUGUCUCUUAUAC
rnacentral:rRNA from 1 species